rnacentral:rRNA from 1 species
AGAGUUUGAUCAUGGCUCAGAAUCAACGCUGGCGGCGCGCCUAACACAUGCAAGUCGAACGAGAAAGUGGAGCAAUCCAUGAGUACAGUGGCGUACGGGUGAGUAACACGUGGGUAAUCUACCUCUUAGUGUGGAAUAACCCUGGGAAACCGGGGCUAAUACCGCAUAAGCUCGAGAGAGGAAAGCAGCAAUGCGCUGAGAGAGGAGCCCGCGGCCGAUUAGCUAGUUGGCAGGGUAAAAGCCUACCAAGGCAAAGAUCGGUAGCCGGCCUGAGAGGGCACACGGCCACACUGGCACUGAAACACGGGCCAGACUCCUACGGGAGGCAGCAGUGGGGAAUCUUGCACAAUGGGGGAAACCCUGAUGCAGCGACGCCGCGUGAGCGAUGAAGCCCUUCGGGGUGUAAAGCUCUUUCGGCAGGGAAGAUUAUGACGGUACCUGCAGAAGCAGCUGCGGCUAACUACGUGCCAGCAGCCGCGGUA